rnacentral:rRNA from 1 species
AAGUUUGAAAGAUGCAAUUGCAUCACUCAGAGAUGAUACCGCGUUGUAUUAGCUAGUUGGUGAGGUAAAGGCUCACCAAGGCGAUGAUACAUAGCCGACCUGAGAGGGUGAUCGGUCACAUUGGGACUGAGACACGGCCCAAACUCCUACGGGAGGCAGCAGUAGGGAAUCUUCGGCAAUGGACGAAAGUCUGACCGAGCAACGCCGCGUGAGUGAAGAAGGUUUUCGGAUCGUAAAACUCUGUUGGUAGAGAAGAACGUUGGUGAGAGUGGAAAGCUCAUCAAGUGACGGUAACUACCCAGAAAGGGACGGCUAACUACGUGCCACCAGCCGCGGUAAUACGUAGGUCCCGAGCGUUGUCCGGAUUUAUUGGGCGUAAAGCGAGCGCAGGUGGUUUAUUAAGUCUGGUGUAAAAGGCAGUGGCUCAACCAUUGUAUGCAUUGGAAACUGGUAGACUUGAGUGCAGGAGAGGAGAGUGGAAUUCCAUGUGUAGCGGUGAAAUGCGUAGAUAUAUGGAGGAACACCGGUGGCGAAAGCGGUUCUCUGGCACUGUAACUGACACUGAGAGCUCGAAAGCGU